rnacentral:rRNA from 1 species
CAAGCCGGAGGAAGGUGGGGAUGACGUCAAAUCAUCAUGCCCCUUAUGACCUGGGCUACACACGUGCUACAAUGGAUAGUACAAAGGGUCGCGAAGCCGCGAGGUGGAGCUAAUCCCAUAAAACUAUUCUCAGUUCGGAUUGUAGGCUGCAACUCGCCUACAUGAAGCCGGAAUCGCUAGUAAUCGUGGAUCAGCAUGCCACGGUGAAUACGUUCCCGGGCCUUGUACACACCGCCCGUCACACCACGAGAGUUUGUAACACCCGAAGUCGGUAGGGUAACCUUUAUGGAGCCAGCCGCCGAAGGUGGGACAGAUAAUUGGGGUGAAGUCGUAACAAGGUAGCCGUAUCGGAAGGUGCGGCUGGAUCACCUCCUUUCUAAGGAA